CAGUGGGGAAUAUUGGACAAUGGGCGAAAGCCUGAUCCAGCCAUGCCGCGUGUGUGAAGAAGGCCUUCGGGUCGUAAAGCACUUUAAGUUGGGAGGAAGGGCUCAUAGCGAAUACCUGUGAGUUUUGACGUUACCAACAGAAUAAGCACCGGCUAACUUCGUGCCAGCAGCCGCGGUAAUACGAAGGGUGCAAGCGUUAAUCGGAAUUACUGGGCGUAAAGCGCGCGUAGGUGGCUUGAUAAGUUGGAUGUGAAAUCCCCGGGCUCAACCUGGGAACUGCAUCCAAAACUGUCUGGCUAGAGUGCGGUAGAGGGUAGUGGAAUUUCCAGUGUAGCGGUGAAAUGCGUAGAUAUUGGAAGGAACACCAGUGGCGAAGGCGACUACCUGGACUGACACUGACACUGAGGUGCGAAAGCGUGGGGAGCAAACAGGAUUAGA
rnacentral:rRNA from 1 species